CUGGAAUAGGCUAGAUUGUUCUGUGGUAACAAACUACUCCAAAGUCUUGGCAGUUUACAACAACCAAGAUUUAUUUUUCAACUACACUACAUGCUCAGUGAGUAUUAGCAAAUGGUUCUGUUCCAUGUCAUUACCUACUUAUAGGGGACCCACAGCGAUGGUGGAGUCUCUCUUAAUAUUGGUGUCCAUUAUGACACAGGCAAAGACAGAAGUAGACCUCGGUCAUAGAACAAGCUAUGACUUAAGCUUCUGUCUGGAUAUCAUACAAGUCACUUCCAUUCCCAUGUCCAUUUCAGCAGCAGAACAACUCAAUCCAAAUCUGACUUCAGUGCCUUGGAGAAAAUAUAAUUCCACCCCUAGGGAGGGAAGCAGGUAUGGAUGAGUGGUAAUGAAAUCCACCUCUCCAUCAAACCCAGGUGUCAUUGCUUUAUUUGAGUGAGGUUUUUUCUUCAUCUUCUUCUUACAGAUCCCUUUUAAAACCAGCCUGGAAACAGUGUUUGUAGAAAUCAGCUUCACUACUUCUAAAGCAGGGGUUCCCAUUGUUGGCAUGUUGUGGUCUGACCUUAUUAAUGGAGUUCAACCUUAAUAGCAGGUUGGCUUAAUAGGCUUAAAUGAUGACCCAUUCUAGGACUAUUAUCACCCAUAAAGCUAAGGAUUUUCCUGCUUAAGGGUUUCACACUUGUGUGAGAAAAGAGUGUGAGAAAAGAGUACACCCUUCACCAAAAGGACCAGAGCUCCCUCCUGUUCUGUCAGCUGCUGGUUUCCUCCAGCAAGAUAUUAAAACUAGGUACGAGGAGCUGAGGUGUCAUUACUCAGCAAGUCUGCAGAAUCUGUGCUUGUGACAGCACCCUGGUAAUUCCUGAUAAUUUCAUCCCUCCCUGAUGGAGACCCAGCUUUUAUUUCAGCAACAGUAAUGGGUUGUUCUGGACCCCUGACCUCACCUGAAGAUGUCUUUAUGUUGGAUCUGCCUUAUAUUUGGGGCAGUUGGUUCAAGACUUAGAGAAAUUUCUACAGACACUCUCAUUCCAGAAUGAUGGGACCCAACCAGGGGGAUUGGCCAGAAGCAACAAUGGCUUCAGGCUUGACGAAGUGGACUAAAAUGUAAAGAAGUUCUUGCAAACAGUGUGGCUAUCCCUUCUCAGACCCCGGACAUACAUCUGUUACCUGCUUAACCAUCCAUCUACUCCUUUGCUACAGCUGCAUAUCCAGGAUUCUGUGUCCUAUCAUUGUUCUUUAUGGAUACCGUGUACACUUUUAAAGAAUAAGUGUAAAUUCAUUAA